UUCUACAGUCUGGCAAAGACUGCUUUAACUUGUUUUUUUGGUGCUGCAUUAAUGCUUUUUGCUCGUUCUGUGUCAGUUCCCAGCCUGGCUCGUGGUUUCCCCUGGGGCGGAGGCGAGUUGUGCUUCCUGCUGGGAGAGAGAAUGGCCUUGGGAAGCUGCUCCAUGACCCACAGCUGUGCCGAGCCCGGGAGUCUGUCCAGCAGGAUGUUGAGUGCCACCGUGUCCCUGAGGUCACCCUUUCUGCUGUUGGGAGAGCACGAGGUGGAUGGAGAGGAUCCCCAGGCAUCUGCAGGCACAAGGGACUCGUAUAACUGUAAUUUUCCUACAGCCCUCGUGAGAGGGACUUUGAGGGUACUGUGGGUAAUGUGCCAGCUCUCCUGCUGG